rnacentral:tRNA from 1 species
GCCCAUGAAGCUCAAUUGGUGGUAGCGUCCGUCUCAUACGCGGAAGGUCUCUGGUUCAAAUCCAGACGUGGGCA